rnacentral:lncRNA from 1 species
UCAAAAAGUGAGUCACAAAAGGGAAAGCACAAUUGAUUAAUAUUUCAAGGCAACUUAUUAUUUUGUUUAUUUUCUUUUGCAUGUUUCUUGGGAAGAUUCUGGAGUUAAAAGAUGGCCAAAAGACUGGGUGAACGAGGACUUUCUUUAUGUUUGAGAGAAACCAAGACUCAUCCCAGGCAAUCAAACUAAGGCCCAGGAAGGAAAACUGAAGUCCAGUUAGAUAUCCUCUGCAGUCAAAGUCUAUGGAUCGAGCACAUUACACAGUCAUGGUGAUAGCAGAUGUGUCCCUAAAAGGCCUUGGCUGUCUUUGGGCCAUUGUGGUCCUACUGAAAAAAGGGCUCAUCCUCAAAGGCUGUGAAAAAAUUAAAAACAGAAUUGGAGCUGAAUAAACUGGUUUGAAGAGCUGGGACAUUGCAAUUAGCCAGGUAUGUGCAUUCCAGCUGUGUAAACUUGGACAGGAGACAUUAUCUCCCUAAAACCCCAGUUUCUGCAUCUAUAAAAUGGGGAAAAGAGUGGUUAUUUCCUUAUAGGAUCAUAGUAAGAAUUGAUAUAAUGU